ACGUUCAGACAAGGUCAAACUGACACAGAAAUUCAAUGUCACUGCUCAUGGCAACGGACUGGCCACUCUCUCGGUGUUUUCUCUGUAUUAUGCU